rnacentral:lncRNA from 1 species
CAGGGAGGGGAGAGCAGGAAGGGGGAUAACACUUGAAAUGUAAACAAAUAAAAUGAUUAAUACAUUUUUAAAAGGGUUGAUGGUGUUGAGGUCGUGCUUGGUUGUGUACUGGAUUUAAAUCCUGCCUGGGAAAUUGGGAGGAGAAGGGGAGAGGGAAAAAAAGAGCAAGGGUCACAGAUAUCAAGUCCAUCUUGAGCUGUGUGCCAAGAUGCUGUCUAGAACAGAAUAGAUUAAGAAAAUAGAACAGAGGCUGUUGGCUCC